rnacentral:rRNA from 1 species
AAACUAACAAGGAUUCCCCUAGUAACUGCGAGUGAAGCGGGAAAAGCUCAAAUUUAAAAUCUGGCGGUCUUCGAUCGUCCGAGUUGUAGUCUGGAGAAGCGUCUUCCGCGCUGGACCGUGUACAAGUCUCUUGGAACAGAGCGUCGUAGAGGGUGAGAAUCCCGUCUUUGACACGGACUACCAGUGCUUUGUGAUGCGCUCUCAAAGAGUCGAGUUGUUUGGGAAUGCAGCUCAAAAUGGGUGGUAAAUUCCAUCUAAAGCUAAAUAUUGGCGAGAGACCGAUAGCGAACAAGUACCGUGAGGGAAAGAUGAAAAGCACUUUGGAAAGAGAGUUAAACAGUACGUGAAAUUGCUGAAAGGGAAACGAUUGAAGUCAGUCGCGUCGUCUAGAACUCAACCUUGCCUCGGCUCGGUGCAUUUUCUAGUUGACGGGCCAGCAUCAGUUUUGACCGUCGGAAAAAGGUCCUCGGAAUGUGGCACCUUCGGGUGUGUUAUAGCCUUGGGUCGUAUACGACGGUUGGGACUGAGGACCGCAGCACGCCUUUAUGGCCGGGGUUCGCCCACGUACGUGCUUAGGAUGCUGGCGUAAUGGCUUUAACGAC